rnacentral:rRNA from 1 species
AUACGGAGGGUGCAAACGUUGUUCGGAAUCACUGGGCGUAAAGGGCGCGCAGGCGGUUUGAUUAGUCAGAUGUGAAAGCCCACGGCUUAACCGUGGAAGUGCAUUUGAAACUGUCAGACUUGAGUACCAGAGGGGUAGUGGAAUUCCCGGUGUAGAGGUGAAAUUCGUAGAUAUCGGGAGGAAUACCGGUGGCGAAGGCGACUACCUGGCUGGAUACUGACGCUGAGGCGCGAAAGCGUGGGGAGCAAACAGGAUUAGAAACCCCGGUAGUCC